UACGGGGGGGCAAGCGUUGUUCGGAAUUACUGGGCGUAAAGGGUGCGUAGGCGGUCCGCUAAGUUGGAUGUGAAAACUCUGGGCUUAACCCAGAGCCUGCAUUCAAAACUGACGGGCUAGAGUUCUGGAGGGGUAGCGGAAUUCCUGGUGUAGCGGUGAAAUGCGUAGAUAUCAGGAGGAACACCGGUGGCGAAGGCGGCUACCUGGACAGAAACUGACGCUGAGGCACGAAAGCUAGGGGAGCAAACAGG
rnacentral:rRNA from 1 species